rnacentral:misc_RNA from 1 species
AACAUCGCGCACCUGCGGGAACCUGCGGAAGGAUCAUUAAAAAGAGUGUGUACCCCUCUGUAAAAUGAGUGGGUUACCUCCCGUCCUUUGUUGACCUCUUAGGAGGUUAUUUUGAACUUUCUGCUUCGGUGGGGUUAAACCUACCGGAACACCCUCAAAUUCUUAUCAUUUAAAAAUUGUUCAGUCUGAUUUUUGUUAAUAAAAACAAAAAACUUUCAACAAUGGAUCUCAGAUCGGAAG